rnacentral:rRNA from 1 species
UACGGAGGGGGCAAGCGUUGUUCGGAAGUACUGGGCGUAAAGCGCACGCAGGUGGAUUUUUAAGUCAGGGGUGAAAGCCCGGGGCUCAACCGCGGGAGUGCCUUUGAUACUGCCGAGCUUGAGUCCGGCAGAGGUUGGUGGAAUUCCUAGUGUAGCGGUGAAAUUCGUAGAUAUUAGGAAGAACACCAGUGGCGGAGGCGGCGAACUGGGCCGGAACUGACGCUGAUGUGCGAAAGCGUGGGGAGCAAACAGG